UACAGAGGGGGCCAGCGUUAUUCGGAAUUAUUGGGCGUAAAGGGCGCGUAGGCGGCUUUGCGUGUCUUUCGUGAAAUCCCUCGGCUCAACUGAGGACGUGCGGAAGAAACUGCAGGGCUGGAGUCCGGGAGAGGAGGGUGGAAUUCCCAGUGUAGCGGUGAAAUGCGUAGAUAUUGGGAGGAACACCGGUGGCGAAGGCGGCCCUCUGGACCGGUACUGACGCUGAUGCGCGAAAGCGUGGGGAGCAAAAGGG
rnacentral:rRNA from 1 species